UACGGGGGGGGCAAGCGUUGUCCGGAAUUAUUGGGCGUAAAGGGCUCGUAGGCGGCCAACUAAGUCAGACGUGAAAUCCCUCGGCUUAACCGGGGAACUGCGUCUGAUACUGGAGGGCUUGAGUUCGGGAGAGGGAUGCGGAAUUCCAGGUGUAGCGGUGAAAUGCGUAGAUAUCUGGAGGAACACCGGUGGCGAAGGCGGCAUCCUGGACCGACACUGACGCUGAGGAGCGAAAGCCAGGGGAGCAAACGGG
rnacentral:rRNA from 1 species